CCCGGGCGUUGCCACGGCAGCGUUCGUAUCAUCGCGCCGGCGCCGGGGAACGGCAGUCAGUUGCAGUCGGCGGCCGGAGCGGUGCUGACGGCUGUUCUCCAUCUGGAGAGGAGCGGUGAUUUUCUUGGUGACCGUCGCCGAGUCCCAGGAGAGCCUGUUCCAGACGAGGAUUUCUUUCCUGUCACCUUUCCCCUGCACAAGCAGCUGAGGAUCAGGUAAUGAGACAAUGCGCCCUGAGGCGCAGGUGGUUGUGAAGGUGGCAGGGAAGCAAUGGUCUUUUCUGAUGUCAGGUUGGGGAUUACUAAUGUUUUCUUCCAAGCGCGUGAGCCGUGCAGAGGAGCCCAAGUCACUCUGGAGGCCAAGCCCUGAAUAGCACCUGAUAGGAAUUGCUUGUGCUAAUUUAACCUUGUCUGUGUAUUUUAUUUUUGAUUCAGACCAUCUCUGCCUGCCCUGGUGACUCCAGGUUGCCAAAUCCUUCCUGCUCCAGGUCCCCCUAUCCAGCCAGGACGGAUGGCAUCUGGCACCCCACCAGUGUAGAGGCAACAACCGUUGUUGGUUAAGGAGAUACCGUGUUAGAUAUACUUAGGGUGCAAAACAUGGGUACAGGCCUUGUCUGGAAAAAAGGAACUGGGUAAGAAAAGGUUGAGGGAGCACGCCUUCUGAGAAGAGAGGCCAAGAGCAGCCAUGAGGGGCAAUGCGCCUGUACAAGUUUAUCCAGUUUUGCCACCGAGGGCUGUAAGGGGAAAUCAGGGAGGGGCAGUUAUGGCUGGGAGACAGGAAGGGAAGGGGGAAGGAGGAGGGAUGCAGGAGAAAGGGAAGUGCUUUAAUGUGUUUGUAGGGGAAGGGGCAGUGCACGACGGUGUAUUCCAACAAGUCUCCUAAUACAUGGCAGAGUCCCCUUCCAGGUACAGGAGAGAUCCACCUAGCUACAUCAACUGAGACACCCAGCAGCUGCAGAGACUCCUGGGAGGCAGGACCCGUUGAGGCCAAGGACCACAGAAGAAGGCGAGGAACCCAGCCAGAGGGACUGCGAGACUCUACCUAGCAGUCCGCCAGCCCUCCAGGGCAAGAUGGAGAGGCUGAGGUGGAUCCUCAGAAAGAGGACGGCAAGAAUGGCCCCAGGACAGGAGAAGGACAGGAAGAAACCUGAGGAGGAGGAGCAGGUCGGCCACCACCAGGCAGAGGCUGCAUCAAGGAAGGGCAGGUGGUGGCACUGUCUCGUGGGCUGGACAAGAAGGGCACCUCCAGCAGCCACAGAAAAGCAGGGAGAGGAGCCAGUCAGGCCCCGAUGGAGGUGGCCCAGGAUACAGCUGGGCAGGCAGGGCCCAGCACCAACAGAGACCCCGGCACAGCCCCCGCGCAGCUCCAGCCCCAAACUCAGCAGCCAGGACCCCAGCGCUGAAGCCCAGCCGAAGGCCACUCCACGUGUGGCCUGGGAGGAGAAGCCAGGCUCCCCAGGGCAGGAGCUGCACAGGCCCUGCUUCAAGCUGGGCUCCAGCUCCUCCAGGGAGGACAGCGACAGCCCCCAGGAGGCUGUGGGCCUCCAGCAACAUGCUGCCACCGCCAGAGGUGAGGUG